ensembl:lncRNA
AGAAGGAACUGCGAUCUACGGAGACCUGCUCGGCGAGAAAGAGUCAUUUUAUGCUCAAUGCCUUCAGGCUUUUGAGUGGCUCAGGGAGCUGCCACUCUUAAUCAUGUCAUGCUACUACGAUCCAAUAGGAUCAGCCGAUUGAAAAGAGGGGUUGAAACUUGCAAAAUCGAACCACCGCAGCCCGAGAUCUCUGAUCUCAGUCAAUCUGAGGAUUUUACUACGAAUGGUGAGAACUGUAACAAAGAAUCUCUUUUGUUGUUUUGUCUAUUGUCUGGUUUCUCCAUGUUUAUUGGACUUAUAUGGCUGUUAGUUCUUUUUUUUAGGCAGUUUUCAAAAUUUGAAGGUUUCUUUUGUGUGUUAUAUUGAUUGAUAUAUUUUCUUCAGCAGGAACAUAGAAACCAAUUUUUGCAAACUCCAAACGUAGGGCUCAGGGCCCUGCAGAGGCUCACCAGUUUGAUUUGAUACUUUCCUCUGAUGAAGGCUUGUCUUCAAAAAGAUGUUUGGGAAGAGUUUAAGUAAAGUCUCCAGUCAGAUCCAGGAGAGAUAAUCCGUUAUGAGGACGUGGUCUCACGUGUGUGACAGCACUGACGUGUUCCUUCUUCUGUGGUUCUCCGUGGUGCCUUCAGGUGUCUCCGCUCCCCGGUAACAUGAGCGAGUCCGUCUGCUCGCUGAAAUUCGCUCAGCGCGUUCGCAGCGUGGAGCUGAUGUCCUCGUCUUCGUCUUCCAGGAGACACGAGUACUCGUCCACCUCGUCCUCGCCAACCCACGACAGCGUCGAGCUGGACUCUCCCCCCGUCACACCCGUCCCUCUCCCCAUCUCGCGGGCCAGCAGCGCCGGCUCCACCCUCUCCUCCGCCUCUAGAACUCCAAGCGGCUCCCGCAGGAGGUCCCAGUCGCAGCUGUCCACCGGACGACUGAAGCUCACAGCCUGACGGGUGGAGGUCCGACAGCCUGGCAGAUGGUAUACGUGGCUUUUUGAAUCGUCUGCCUUUGUGACAUCUACAACAUCAUGAACAACAUUCAAAGAUCUAAAUUAUGACUAAAAUAAAAUCAUGAACUAUUUCUUCUUUCAUAACAGUAUAAAGUUCCACUGACAGUAUUUCUUUUGUUUUUGUAAAGUCGCACUUUAAAUAUUGAGAUUUUUUUUCUUAUCCAUGAUGUGGUUGAUAUUAAUAUAUGACAUGAUUUCAUUUUGUGCUUGAGUUGAAAACGAUGAGUAUUAAUCAUAUUUCAGAGAUCCUUUGUGCAGUUUUAAUCGGAGGAGUCUGUGUCCUCGUGGCCCUUUAUCCAAUCAGGGAAGCCCAGGUACUGAAGGUCCAAUCAUCAAUACGACCGGUACCAUCCGGACUACUGGUGGAUGUUUUUAUUUUUCAUGCUGAAGGAGCUUUGUCUUCUUUGAUGGCUUGUCUCUGUAGACCCAGCAGAGACCUUUGACCUUUGGCUGAGUUGGUGGCUGUUGGUAACAAUAAAGCUCAGAGGGUCAGUGUGUCUUCUGUAGAUUUAUACUGUUUUUUUAUUCCAUUUUUAAUAAAUAUCCAAAGCAAAUAUAAACUAAUGUCUCCAUGUUUUAUAUCCAAAUGAGCAGUUAGAAACGUGUGCGAGAGGAAAGAGACUAUUCUGAUCCAACAUGUACAACUUUUUAUUUGAUUAAACAAUUACAACAAGGCAUUUACACAUGUCGUCUAUAGUAGAAAAGACAUCAGAUUACCAUCAGAAAUAAUCGCUGAUGGAUUAAAUAUAUAAAUUAGCCCACUCGUCACCAACCUUUGAUCCAGGUGAGCAGCGGCACUGAUUGAUCCAGACUAAAGAACAUGUUUUCAUGCUAAGCUAAACAGCGUCAUCAGACAGACUUCUACCCAAACUUCAAGGGGAAUCCCUUUGUUGUAGCUUAGUGCAGCUGUGGACCGGUCAGCAGAGAGGACCUGCUUCUUCUGGGUUCCUUGGAGAACCCUUUUACCGAUGUCCUCAGCGCCCUCAUUAGAGAAUGUCUAUGAAGAACAGUUCCUCAUCAGUCAUGAAUCUAUAAAUGAGCUCCUGAUGUCCGUAGGCCGAGCCGCCACAUCUUCAUCCUCGGUAGAACCUGUCAAAGCGAGUCGUCGAGCGGCGCCAUGAGCAGCUGCAGCUCUCUGAAGGCGCUGCCAUGACGACCGACCUGCAGUGCCUUGUUCUCCACCAGGUUGCUCAGGUUCUUCAGCUGCUUGCAGAUCGCUCUGCACUUCUGAUGUCUGCAACACAAACGUCAUCAUCUUCAGCACCACCAACCCCACAAGCGGGUCACGUGACUUUGUGCUGACUCACCGCUCCUCUCGCGUGAUGUCGACCCCGACAGACGGAGUCGCCUUCAGAGUCUCAGAGAUCAGAGUCCAGAAAUGUUUCAUGAUGAGCUUGAGGGACGUACAGCCGGUCUGAAUGUAGCUACACACACACACACACACACGGUUCACAUUGAAGUGUCAGAUCAUUAAGAAUUGGGGAUGUCAAAGUCAAGACAAUAAUCUAUGCGAGUACAAUUGUGUGUGUUGACCCCUGACCCCUGAAGCCGACGUGUGCUGCAGUCAGUUAGAUGCAGAGAGUGAGGCAGCUUUUUGCAUUGGAAGUAAAACCAACCCAACUGAGACCCCGUUUACACGAUGGGAAAACGUGUAUAUUUUCAUGCGUUUUGGGGUUUCAUUUACACAAAAACGAUCUUUUCUAAAAACUUUUUGUGUUUGCGUGUGAACAAGGUCAGACAGAGUUUUAGGUUGUCAAGCGUCACAGUAUGCCAAUUCUGAUUAGUUUCCAUGUCUUUAUCCUUCUCGUUACACUGCCGACUACAGUGGCAC